UUUUACAAAUAUAUUUAAGUACUUUAACAUUUUUGUUGACAUUUAAUAAUUCAAUCAGUUCAGACUGUGUCUAAUGAGCCUAACAAUUCGUAAAAUUACAUUUUUUUCAAGUUAAAUGCAUAUUUUUUAUUUUUUCGUACUAUUUAUAGUGCAUAUUUUAAAGUUUUUAAGUGUAUAUUUAAGAGCUAAAAAGUAACAUUUUUAGUGCUACAACUUCCGAGCCCUGGACAUAACUUAAAAACCAAUUUCGUCCGUUCAAUUUUGAUUACACCAUCGUCGGCGUCUACCGCCGCCGUCGGUUCUCAUUCCGAUCGAGAGCUCGGCGUGCAAUUGCCUCUCUGCGUUUUCUUUUUUCUUUUUCCGUCCGUCGCGUCCGAUUUUUUUUUUCGUUUUCGUUUCAAACGUUUUUUUUAAAUCGUUUUCGAGCCCGUUUUAUUAAUUUUUCGUACUACGCUUUAAUCGUAUUAUUUUAUAUACGUUAUUUAAUAUUCGAUUUGUUUUACCGAAAAAUAAUCGGAUGUUUUCAUUACAUAUAUUAAUUUGAUGUGAAAGACUGUAAUGAUAUUAUUAAACGCACACGCACAGCUAUAAAACGAAGAAAACAUGAAAACAUGUUUUAGUAAAAGAUUCUUACAGUAUCAUUCGUUACACUUGGACUAAAGGAAAUGAAAACUUUUAUGAUAUUAAGAAAAUAAGAAGAACCAGAGAGAGCAAUUGGAUGUUUUCAUUGAGAAGGAAUGUAAUUGACAUUAAUGAUAUUUUUAUAAACACAAUCAGAUUUAAAAAUUAAAACAAUUUUUAUAAUUCUAUUCACAUAUGUAUUUAUUAAGUCUAUUGUUCGACUAUGAUUUAAUUGUGUCAUUAAAUUAUGUUAAAUAAUUAUAAAUUUGUUUUUUAAAUAUGUUAAAUUCAUUACAUUUGAUUUAUUUUUCCAAGUAAUAUAGGAGAAAAGUGUUGUAUAUUUUCAUUGUACUUUUUUUAUUGGAAUGAAAUUGAAUUCAAUGUGUUAUUGCUGCUAAUAAUACUAUUCAAAACAAACACAACUAUAAAAUAAAGAAAACAUGGUAAGAAUUACAAUUUUUAACACUCUUAUUUCACUAUGAUAUAAAUGUCUUUUUAAAAUAUCUUGAACUAUAUUGUUUACUUUGCUCAUAGUUGGUUGCAGAGUAAUGAAUUAACAAAUGCUCCAACAUGAGUGUAGUACUGUUGUACCCAAGAGUUUGGUUAUUAAUAUACUUUUCUCUUAAUAUAAGAAAAUAUUAUAGUUUUAGUAUAUAGUUUAUUUACUUAAACCGUAUCUUACUGGAACAUUGUAUAAUAAUAAAAAUAUUUCCUUUGAUUUUGUUAUGUUUCAAAUUUUUAUACAUUAUCUUCAUACAUUCUUUAGGCUUAAAAGCAUAUAUGUGGUCUGAUUACAAGAAACUUUCAUACUCUGUCAUUCUUAAAUUAUUUAUAUUUUAUAUUUUUAUAUAUUCUCUCUAUAUAACAUUUAAUUAUUGAUGAUGAGUACUUUUAUGUACUUUGAAUGUUAGAAAGGCGUUGAUGACCUCCACAUGGUCUUUCUUGGAUGCAUUUUUCACUAAGAAUGUUUAGAGUGUAAAACGUAACUAACACCAACAUUUAUAUAUACAUACCUAUUAUAAAGUAUUCAUGUAUCACACAUUUUUUUUUUUUCAGACAAUAUCAAGGAAGAUCUAUCCCCAUUUUUAUAGUUUUUUGUGU